AUGGGUCAAUUCUUCACAUCUCUUGAGAGCUUGAAGUUUCUCCUAAAAUCCAUAUUUCUCUUCAACCUUCAGGACUGGAUCUAUAGUUCCAUUGACAAUCAUUGAAGCUAAGUUUCUCGAUCCUUUUUCAAUCAUUUUAUGUACUAUUUUGUUUCUUUUUCUCAAAUCGAUGGAAUGAAUUUCAAUAGAAGUUGAUAACACCAUCAAAUCUGUGAAAUAAGAAUUCAUAACACUAUUUUUUGAGUUAUUUUUGACAACUUUAAAUAGAUAUUUUUAACCUAAACACGAAAUGCAGACAAAUCUCAACCAGCUCAUACCAAGGUGUGGAUAUUCGUACCAGUCGUCACCCCCAAGCUCUCACCAGGGAAAGGAGAGAGCAAUAUGCAUGCAAAUCUUACACCGAUCUCAUGGGGAUAUAAAGGUUGAUUGAAAGAUUUUGACUCAGAACGUCUAUGGAUGCGCUCUCCGAAAUGCAUAUCAUCUUGAUUGGCGAGAUACAAUUAAUCAAAAGUUUGAAGGCGGAUGAAAGGAAAUACCUCUUGAGUUCUGAUAAAUUUUCUUCUAUACUUUCUUGGUGAGCAUGUAAGCCUGAAACUAAUGUACUUUUUUUUUCAAUUAAAUUUAUAAGAUUUUGGAUUUUUCAU